GACGAACGCUGGCGGCGUGCUUAACACAUGCAAGUCGAACGGAAAGGCCCUGCUUUUGUGGGGUGCUCGAGUGGCGAACGGGUGAGUAACACGUGAGUAACCUGCCCUUGACUUUGGGAUAACUUCAGGAAACUGGGGCUAAUACCGGAUAGGAGCUCCUGCUGCAUGGUGGGGGUUGGAAAGUUUCGGCGGUUGGGGAUGGACUCGCGGCUUAUCAGCUUGUUGGUGGGGUAGUGGCUUACCAAGGCUUUGACGGGUAGCCGGCCUGGGGGGGUGACCGGCAACAUGGGAAUGGAGAUACGGCCAAGACUCCUACGGGAGGCAGCGUGGGGGAUUAUUGCAAAAGGGGCGGAAGCCGGAUGCAGAAACGCGGCGGGCGGAAGGACGGCCUUCGGGUUGUAAACCGCUUUCGCCUGUGACGAAGCGUGAGUGACGGUAAUGGGUAAAGAAGCACCGGCUAACUACUU
rnacentral:rRNA from 1 species